CCUACGGGUGGCAGCAGUGGGGAAUAUUGGACAAUGGGCGAAAGCCUGAUCCAGCCAUGCCGCGUGUGUGAAGAAGGCCUUCGGGUUGUAAAGCACUUUCAGUGGGGAAGAAAGCCUUGGGGCUAAUACCCUCGAGGAAGGACAUCACCCACAGAAGAAGCACCGGCUAACUCCGUGCCAGCAGCCGCGGUAAUACGGAGGGUGCGAGCGUUAAUCGGAAUUACUGGGCGUAAAGCGCGCGUAGGUGGUCUGAUAAGCCGGUUGUGAAAGCCCCGGGCUCAACCUGGGAACGGCAUCCGGAACUGUCAGGCUAGAGUGCAGGAGAGGAAGGUAGAAUUCCCGGUGUAGCGGUGAAAUGCGUAGAGAUCGGGAGGAAUACCAGUGGCGAAGGCGGCCUUCUGGACUGACACUGACGCUGAGGUGCGAAAGCGGGGGUAGCAAACAGGAUUAGAUACCCUGGUAGU
rnacentral:rRNA from 1 species